UGUUUCUGGUGUCUUCGAUUGGAUUUGCAUGUGGCCUGUAGACAUGUAAAAAUUACUUUGUAUAAAAAAUGUUAUCAUUGACAGCAUAUAGUCACGGACUCACAGGUGCCCACUACGAGAGGCGAGAGGCGACAGCAUCACCUCGUUCUCUGCUGCUGCUCCUCCUCCUAGUAUCCAUCCAUCCCUUUCUCUCCGCCACCGCUCUUCCUUGACAGAUGCUGCCGCCGCUCUGACUUCACUUGUGGCGUUAUCCUUCCUCCCUGCUGCUCCUUCUCCUCCUAGUAGUCAUCCUUUCCUCUCCGUCGCGACGCCGUCUAUCACCACCAUAGUCGUGCCACGGCUCGAUCUGCUGCUCCCGAGCGCAGCUACCUUGUCCUCGACCCCGAGCUCCUUCUUCGCCGACGACCGAAGCCACCGACCAGGGCCCCGUCGCCCCUGCCUUUUUUUCCCGUCAUCUCCCUCUUCCCUUCUUUGUUUCUCCCGUUUACUCUCAUCUUCCUCUAUCUCUCUUGCUCUCUGUUACAGGGAAGCCGCCAUGGACGCCUGAGGUCCUCAGCUCCGACCCACGCCCCGGCGGCCCUGCCGACGUCGUCGCCUAGGAAGACUACCAUGCCCGUUGCAGGAGCUUCGAGCCGACCCCGCAGCAUGAAGACCGCCGCCGCCCGUUCGUCAUCGGGAAUCGCCAGAUCCGGCCCGUCUCCGACCUGCCUCCCCGUCCUUCGCCCAUUCCCGACGUCCCCCCGGCGCCAAGAGCUCAGGAGAGCGCCGCCACAAGACCCUGACUCCUCUGCCCCAGAUCCCGCCAUGGUGGUCAUCGCCUCUUCGUCUCUAUCUGUCCUUCGCCAGAUCCACGCUGGUGUCCUCGAGGGACCCGUCAUGGAGGUUGUCGCCUCUCCCAUCUCGAUCCGCCCGCCGCCGGAUCCACGACGGAGCGGCCGAGAUCCGCCGCCCGUUCCGCAACGCCUCGGCCCGCAUGAAGGCCAAGGGCCUCGCCAAGCAGCAGGAGGACUUGCCGGCUAGGCUCGCCUGCCGCAGGCGCGCCCGCGAGCUCACUCCCGUGCCCGCCGCGCUCUCAAACGCACGCCGGACGUCAGGGGCUUUUUUGCCAAAACGGAAUGUUAUCUCAAGAACACACUGAAAAUAGGACUGCGGGUUGACUUCAAAGAAAUAGAGGGACUUUUUUGCAAAAACGCAGACGUCGUACGACCAGAAGCAUUAGCCGCUUUAUUAGUAGGUAAAGAUAUAACAAAGAAUGGUAUGACGGUCCAAGAAAACAUACUUUAUAUGAUUCCCAAUAUGUUAAGUACAUGCUUGUAUUCAUCUCCAA